rnacentral:rRNA from 1 species
CCUACGGGAGGCAGCAGUGAGGAAUAUUGCACAAUGGGGGGAACCCUGAUGCAGCGACGCCGCGUGAGCGAAGAAGUACCUCGGUAUGUAAAGCUCUAUCAGCAGGGAAGAAAAUGACGGUAACUCACUAAGAAGCCCCGGCUAAAUACGUGCCAGCAGCCGCGGUAAUACGUAGGGGGCAAGCGUUAUCCGGCGUUACUGGGUGUCAAGGGAGGGCAGGCGGCCUGCCAAGUAUGAUGUGAAAACCCGGGGCCCAACCCGGGGGCUGCAUUGAAAACUGGCGGGCUGGAGUGUCGGAGGGGCUAGCGGAAUUCCUAGUGUAGCGGUGGAAUGCGUAGAUAUUAGGAGGAACACCAGAGGCGAAGGCGGCCUGCUGGACUGUAACUGACGCUGAGGCUCGAAAGCGUGGGGAGCAAACAGGAUUAGAUACCCGGGUAGUC